rnacentral:rRNA from 1 species
CACGUAGGGCGCAAGCGUUGUCCGGAAUUAUUGGGCGUAAAGAGCUCGUAGGCGGUCUGUCACGUCUGCUGUGAAAUCCCGAGGCUCAACCUCGGGCCUGCAGUGGGUACGGGCAGACUGGAGUGCGGUAGGGGAGAAUGGAAUUCCUGGUGUAGCGGUGGAAUGCGCAGAUAUCAGGAGGAACACCGAUGGCGAAGGCAGUUCUCUGGGCCGUAACUGACGCUGAGGAGCGAAAGCGUGGGGAGCGAACAGG